rnacentral:rRNA from 1 species
GUCCACGCCGUAACGAUGGAUGCUAGUUGUCAGUAAGUAUACUUAUUGGUGACGCAGCUAACGCCUUAAGCAUCCCGCCUGGGAGUACGGCCGCAAGGUUAACUCAAGAAUUGACGGGCCCGGCACAAGCGGUGGAGCAUGUGGUUUAAUUCGAAGCAACGCGCAGAACCUUACCCACGUUUGACAUGUCGAGGUAUUGGACCCAGAGAUGGACCAAAGCUCUUCGGAGCCUCGAACACAGGUGCUGCAUGGCUGUCGU